GCCGCGGUGGCUGAGUGGUAAAGCGCUUGGCUUCCGAACAGGGGGUUCCGGAUUUGAAUCCUGGCGGAGACU
rnacentral:tRNA from 1 species